CCUACGGGCGGCAGCAGUCGAGAAUCAUUCACAAUGGGGGAAACCCUGAUGGUGCGACGCCGCGUGGGGGAAUGAAGGUCUUCGGAUUGUAAACCCCUGUCAUGUGGGAGCAAAUUAAAAAGAUAGUACCACAAGAGGAAGAGACGGCUAACUCUGUGCCAGCAGCCGCGGUAAUACAGAGGUCUCAAGCGUUGUUCGGAAUCACUGGGCGUAAAGCGUGCGUAGGCUGUUUCGUAAGUCGUGUGUGAAAGGCGCGGGCUCAACCCGCGGACGGCACAUGAUACUGCGAGACUAGAGUAAGGGAGGGGGAACCGGAAUUCUCGGUGUAGCAGUGAAAUGCGUAGAUAUCGAGAGGAACACUCGUGGCGAAGGCGGGUUCCUGGACAUUAACUGACGCUGAGGGACGAAGGCCAGGGGAGCGAAAGGGAUUAGAUACCCCAGUAGUC
rnacentral:rRNA from 1 species